AAUAUUAUCGAAGCCCAAACAAUAACAAGCAAAGUUUAAACCAAUUUGCAAUGUAGCUUCUGCAUAAAUAAUUGACGGAAUAACUGGCUUCGCUCCGGCGUAAUUAGCCGGAAUUCAUGGAAUAGAAUCCCUUCACCAAAAGAUGACAACGCGGGCGAGGCCAAAAGUCAAAUACCAGGGCCAAAUGCAGUGAGCCAAAAAUAAUGAACUCCAAAUGAAGUAGAACAAAAAGAAAACACAGUGUUAAUUAUUCAUAUUUCAUUAGCGCACAGCACAGAAGAAACGCAGGUGAAGGCGAUGCGAUGCGAUGGCAAAAGGCAAAGGCGUGUGCCAUCUAAAAUUUAUAAAAAUCAAAGUAAGCACUGCGAGCGCAAGGAGAAGAACUUUCCGAUGACCGACACUGAAUUUAAGAAGUUAUGGGUUAUGGGAAUGCGCCACGCAUCUUAAAGCUUAACUGCAUACUUUUGUUUUCAUUAGUUUAUUCUUUAAAAAAUGUAUAAAUAUGUUAUCUUAUAAGUUAUCUUACCAGAUAAAAUAAGAUUCAUAUCAUUUCAUAGAGCUUACAGUGCAAACCAUUCGACGAAAGUAAGCGACUCUGCCAAAGGAGUGGGAUGAUGAAAUCGAGGAGCAGGAGGUCAGCUCCGCAGCGAGUAAAACAAAAGGGAAAUGUCGAAAAGGAAUCUGGAUACACAUCAUCAUUUGUCUUGGCGGGAAGAAGGCGGUGGUGGCCACCAAGGCAGCGGAGACUGGCUCCAUUUAGGCCAGGCGCACAUUGAUGAAUGAAGUGCGUAGUGGCUGAAAGGCCAAAAGGCAGGCAGCAUUAAAAAUGCACACGCAAUCAGAAAAUGCCCCACGACGGCCUCAUAAGCCGAAGUCUGAGGACUCAGGACGCCAGAGUCCGGAACCCGGCACUUUCGACUCCGUGCGCAAUGCGAACCAGGUGAUGGAUCAGCGGCCUCAGAUAAGACAGACAGAAGAAGGACAAGGAAGGAGAAGCUGCAGAUGGAGAUGGAGCCAUAGCCAUAGCCAUAGCCAGAUCCAGAGUCGGGGUAAUGAGUGAGUUGAAUUGGGGCGGCUGACGUCAAAUGUUGUUAACCCCUUUUGAGCCGGGCCUCUCGCCGUGGAGAAACAAUUUAUAAUUUGUUUGAGGGCUUUCAGCGGCCUUUCAAGGCAAUUACCCCGCAUCCGCAUGGCGGACAGCUGGAUCUGACUUUACCUUUGGCAGCCGCCAACUGUGAACUUUGGCACCCAGAUUGGUCAGGAUUCGGGCCCGCUGACUGGGUCAUCCUGUUGGCCAUUCUCCAUUUUCACGCUGUGAUGUAUUGUGAAAACAUCGAGCAUGUUGCCUUUGACGGAACACCUUCAUUUGCACUGAACCAAAAACGAAGCAGCUUCUAGCCAAUGAUAAUACAUUGGAAAUUAUCAAUCUUAAACUCAUAGCUAAUCCGAGAUAGCUGCGGGAUUGUUGAUACUGUAAAGGGUUUGCAUUUGUCGCAAAUCCCAAACCAUAAACCAUAUUUUCACCAUGAAUAUCUUGAUGAUUUCGUGAAAGUGUAGCACACCAGAAAAGGACUUUCGCUCACUGUCCCGACUCCCCAAGGAUAUGAAAUUGUGCUGCCUUGCCAGCAGCAGCUACUUAUGUACUAGUGUUAUUUGUGGAUCUGUAUUAAAAUUCAAGCUCUUUCAUGCUAUUAAUAUUCCAUUGCGUAUUCGCGCGAGAAUAUAUUCCAUUUUUAAUAACACGAAACUUUAUGAAAAUUUUAUAAAUACAAAAGCAGCGAUGUGCAGGAGUAGCUGUUGCCAGAUUCCUUGACAGUAAGGAAAAGAAAAGGAAAGCUCAAAAGUCAAAGCAAACAGGGGCGAAGUCACUGGGGCCAAGGAUCCGAACCCAACCAAACUGAACCCCAAGCUGGAUAAAUUGCGCAAUGAAUCCGUUUGGGUGAUGGUGAAAGUCGGCUGCACACCAUCGAACCCACCCACAGCCACACCCACUCGCUCGAAUGAAAACAAAAAGUGGAAAAAAAAACAAUUGAAAUGUGAAUAUUAAAUAUACAAGUACAAGUUGCCAGUUAGUGUGCUCCCGCCAUUGUUUGUUGCAGCACCUUGCAGAUCCAGAACAAACACCCACGCAGCCACCUACUCAUCCUCCAUCCAACCACCCAUCCAACCAACCCACCGCUUGACGGCGAACUCCCCGCGGCGUCAUUGUGCUUCCUGGCAGGCGGCAGUGGAAAAUGCCAUUUGAUGGCAUUUAGAUGGGAUCGCUGAUUGAUGUUACCGGCUUCUACGCGAAUUCCCAAAGCCAGACCCGCGCUCGGUCAGUUGGAUUCCCUGGCGUUGGAUGGCUGCUGGCGUUUGGAGUACCGAAGAUGGAGGGUUUCGCUUCGGUUUCGUGGGCGCUCAAGAACUUGGCGAAAGGUGGCUCUACGGAAAUCGAGUAGGCGGAAGGCGGUCUUCAGCUGGCAUUAGUGAUAAGGUGGCGUCGGAUGAGUACCCCACUGCUCCUGGAUGGCUGGAAUGCAUAGUACUUAGCCGGCAUAGUAUAAAUUUCAAUUGAAAUCCCUACAGAUGAGGGUUACUCGCUACUCAUCAACUUUCCAACCUUAACCGUAAAACUAUGUCAAACUAAUAGUGCUAUGGAAUAGGGUCAGUUUGGCCAUGCCGGAUAACUAAAUCUUUCAGCUAGCUGCGCUAUUAUUACAUGGACAUCUCAACCCAUAUAUGGGCUAGCUGUUGUAUGUGGCACUUUUACCAUGGUUCCGGCAUAUGUGUAAUGCAUGCAACGAGGCACAUUAAUUAAAUAAAAAUUGAUUUUCCAAGCGCAUGAAAUGCAAUCAACGGCCUGGCUUCAAGUGGGUCCGUGCGCGUCCAUGUGGCCGGGAUGCCGGCCUGGAUUCCAUACUAUGGACUAUGGGAUCCUGAAUACCAUGCUCCAUGCACCAUGUUCCAUGCACUCUGCUCCACUCCGCCGUGUUGUCAAAUGGAGUUAACAAAGUUUACGCUUUUUGCGCGCCGCUGUCUCAUUCUGCUGGCUUUAUUUUUUG
rnacentral:sRNA from 1 species